UACGUAGGGGGCUAGCGUUGUCCGGAUUUAUUGGGCGUAAAGAGCGUGUAGGCGGCCAGGUAGGUCUGCUGUGAAAACUCGAGGCUCAACCUUCAGAGGUCGACCGAAACCAUCUGGCUAGAGUCCGGGAGAGGAGAGUGGAAUUCCUGGUGUAGCGGUGAGAUGCGCAGAUAUCAGGAAGAACACCCGUGGCGAAAGCGGCUCUCUGGAACGGUACUGACGCUGAGACGCGAAAGCGUGGGGAGCGAACAGG
rnacentral:rRNA from 1 species